UUCUCCAUGGGCAUUCUGGCUGAAAACCUUAAAUGCUCACAUCUGAGGAUGUGUAGUCAAAUCUAGCUUCGAUGCAACUUUUAUUAACCAGAUGGUAACAUCUUAUUUACACUUCCCAUAUAAAACCAUCUGUGCUUCUGCUGGGGAGAUGCUGUCUCUUGCUACACUUGGGAGUUUGGCUGCAGGGGGUGUAGCAUUGCUUUUGUUAGCAUCCGGUCUCCCUCUCUCAUCAGAGCUGAAUAUGUAACACUGGUUUUAUUUAACCUUGUUUUAAUUAGAGGGUUACAAAGCUGCAGUUGGCUCUUUCUGCACCAGUCGGUUGGCACUCUGGAUCUUGCUGCCUUUAAACAAAACUGAAAUUUCUUGCCUUGUUUUCCCUUGGUAUUGAAACUGCAGUCGGCCUCCUCUGUUUUCAUCCAAUGGCUCCUGCAUCUUGCCUUCUCCACCACUAAAUCCUCCUCUUCCUCGGUAUGAAAUUCUAGCUCUGCUUGACAUCAGCCUCACUAAGGUCAGGCCUUCUGCCUGGGUGUUUGUUUUCUUUAAGCACUCAUAGCUUGUUGCUGUGCCCAACAUUUCCUUGAGCCAAGUUCAACACCUCCAUCUCCACCAUCUCUGUUGCUUUUCUAUGAACUCCCUUGAAAUCAUAGCGUUGGGUGCCCAGAAAGGUCUGUGCUAUUUCAGGUGUUGUCUAACCAGUAACCUCAUGGAGAAACUAUUUUGCUCUCAGCUUUGCCAGUUGGUUGUGUUGUUUAUUUUUCUUGUUUCACUGACAGAUCGAGUUGCAUUUCAUGUCAUUAAUAAAGAUGUAAAAGAAUAUCAAACCUAACAGUGACCUCCGAAUGGAAUCCACCAGCUCUGCCAGCAGUGCACUCUCUUGGUUGCCUUCUUGCUUUUCUCCCAUCUAGCUCUUUGCCUUCAUGGACUAUUCCCAUCCAAGCCAAUUUGAGUUAAUCUUAUGUGAUGGGAAGAGACACUAUGCUAAAGGCUUCAUCACAGUAACAAUCAGAUACAUGUGGAAACCAGAUGUUGUCUUCUAUGAACAUUUGCAUAAUUUGGAAAGGAAUUUGAAAGGAAAUUUGUUUCUCUUCUGUGUCAAACCAGACUGAGAUUUGCUACAAAGUGAGAUUUUUUUCAGUGAGAAAAAACACUCGGUGAUAAAAAUUGGCUGAAUGACAUUUUUAUGUUAAUUUAAAUUAUUUAAGCUUAUGCAAAACUGAAAUGGAAAAGACAAAAUACUCCAAUAAAAUCAAAAUACUCCAAAAAUGCUGAUAAAAUCCAGCUGUGCUGACACAAUGCAAGGUACCUCCACAGAACAGCAUUUCCCAGCAUAAAACUUUCUGAUGAGAGCAGUAUUGACUUGUAUCAAUAGCCUCUGAUAUGUAACCCCCAACCCAAGGAGAACUCUCAUUUCCUGGAAGAGAUGUCUUUGCAGAGGUGCGUGUCUUUUCUCAUCUCAAGUAUUUAGUUCUUUUCAAAUCUGCUACAGACAAUGAGAUUAUCUUCAGGAAGGAGGGGGUACAAACCAGCCUACAGCUGCCCUGGGCUCAGCAGGAGCAUCCUUGCUCGGGGCUUUCCCAUCUAACAGAUCUUAUUUGUAUUUCAGGCUAACUCAGGGUUCUCUGUGGCUUGCCUGAAGAAGACUGUGUUGGGAAUAUCAGUCAGGGUCAAAGCAGCCCAUUUGCUUUGGCAAGCAUGGUGUGAGUGUAGUUAGCUGAGUGGCUGACCACUGCCUUCACUCUGUGUAUGGACAGUCCUGGCCAUUUAUCUUGGGUGAUGGCCAGCAGUUCCUGCUAGCCUCAUGUUACAGGGCUGUGUUUGAACUCAUCUCCAUCGUCCCAGGCAUCCACAUGUGUGACACACACACAUGCACCAUGCCACAGAUGCUGUAGAUUGGCUGCAGCUGAGAUAAAUAUUAUUCCUAUAUCAUGAUGAGGAUGAAAAUGUCCUUUUGGAGGGUUUGGAAGAGGAGGCUCGGUUUGUUGUGGUCUGCCCUUGGGCUCCUUUUGACUUUUUCUUUCCUGAAAACAGGAGAAAACCCAGCCUGCGAACGAAGGGGAUUUCGGUUCUCACUCAGACCUUGAUCAGGAAAACAGAGCACAUUGUUUGUGAUGGCAGCCUCCACCAAAACAGCUCAGGGGCCAAGUUAAGGCUAAGGAAGAAAUUCAGCCUUCCCAGCAAUGAGAGAUCUGCGUGCUUUCUUCCCUUGCUUCCACUGGUUUCUGUGCAUGCAGUGCUCUGCUUGCUGUGGCCACAUCAUCUGCAAGGUCCCAUUCCCCUUUCUAUCCCAAAGGGGUUGGUGGCACAGCCUCUAAUCCUCAAAAUGAACAUCUUAGGGGCUGGAAGACUGAAAAUCCCUUCCCUGAACUGUGAGGGAAUCCUGCCUUGCUGGGGAGUUGUUCACAGGCAAAGCGGUUUUUACUGCGUCCAUCAGAUGACUUUGGAAAUCAGAUGCAGGAAACAGAUUCAAUGGCUGAUGAUUUGUUUUCCAUCUAUUUAACCUUCGUCAGCAGAUAAACUACCAGGAGUGACAGGACCUGGAUGCGGAGUCCUUACGCACUUAAGCACAUGUGUAAACCUGACUUCUGUUCGAUCUAAGCCUCUGUCUCACAUAAAUGCAGAAUCGGGUGCAAAGCAUCCCUUGCCUGGAGCAUGGACCGCUGGAUGGGUGCAUCUUGGCUGAGCCAUGGUGAGCAGAGGUCCAUGGAGUGGUGCCCAGCAGUGCAGCGCAGGCAGCAAGGCACGAGCUCUGCAUAACCACAGCAGGUGAGUGUGACGUCUUUUGGACUCGAGGUUAAGGCUGCAUCUGCUCAUCGGAAACAGAUUUAAGGAGCAGAUGAAGGAUGCAGAGGGAUAGCAGGAAUAUCAGAUCUGUUUGCUCAGGGAAGGGUCAUUUUCCAUAACACCUCCUUCUUAUUGUCCUCCCCUCAGCAUGGAGUCCUUCUACAACCUUAUUUUUUUGGGUUGCCAAAAAAACCCAGAGGGAGUCACUCUUUUAUGAGCCAUCCCUUCCUCCCUUUUAUGCUGUUAGGAAUUUCCCCAUGUGUGAGUGUCUCACAAAUUCCUUUUCAUUAUGUUGCAUCCAAGCGAAAGUAAUACAUCCCAGUAAGUGAAAGUAAUACAUCCCAUUUGGCUUCUCUAACACUAGCAGAUGGAGUUCAUAGUCUCCUCUUUUUUAGGGUCUCCAAUACAUCAGCCCCAUCACCUGCAGAAGAAGAAUGAUCUCUGGUGAGAACCAGUUAUCACCGCAGCCCUUUCUGGCUGGAAGGAAAGGUUUACCUUGAAUCCCACUUAGGCGUGGAGUUUCAGUUAGGAAACAGCGGUUACAUCUGCUGAGCACACACAUGACAAUGUGGGUGAUGUGUUACUGCACUGUCCUCAUGGCUGGGGCAGCAGAGAUGUGGGACUAUGGGUGAGAUAAGGGGUCAGCACAGCAAUGACUUGGAACUAUAAUCCUGGCAUCUCAGCCCUGUGUUGCUGCUGCAUCUGCGGUUGCAGUAAACACAGAGCUGAGGCAAACAAGAAGUGGUUGAAUGCUUUCCAAGGGAGUGAUUUUCUUUUCUCCUGUGGUAAACUCCCCUCAUUCAAAAUGAAAACUUUCCAGGAGACAAAAAUCAGCUGACAAAGAUUUUAGUUGAGUUUUUCGUUUGUUUGUUUCCAAAUGUCUUUUUAAUGAGUCAAGAGCCAUGUCAGAUCGUGUAAAAUUCAGAAUGAAAGCAAGAUGUGUCCAUGUUGCCAUUCAAACAGAGCUGGAAGGAAGAUUAUGCAGCCCGUUCCCCUGCUCCUGCAUGGGACUGAAUAUUCUCAGGGGGCGGAUAAAAUGCCAAGGAAUGUUGAUGUUCCUUUUGCUUUGCUUUCAUUCCCUUCCCCAGGCUGCACUCUCCCUUUCCACAUCAGUUAAGUGCACGUUAAAUGCCCUCUGCUAGCCCUGGGUUGUAGCUGGCCUGAAUGAGAAGUGCUCCAUU